rnacentral:rRNA from 1 species
UACAGAGGGGGCAAGCGUUGUUCGGAAUUACUGGGCGUAAAGGGCGCGUAGGCGGCCAACUAAGUCCGACGUGAAAUCCCCAGGCUUAACCUGGGAACUGCGUCGGAUACUGGAUGGCUUGAAUCCGGGAGAGGGAUGCGGAAUUCCAGGUGUAGCGGUGAAAUGCGUAGAUAUCUGGAGGAACACCGGUGGCGAAGGCGGCAUCCUGGACCGGCAUUGACGCUGAUGAGCGAAAGCCAGGGGAGCAAACGGG